ACUCCUACGGGAGGCAACAGUGGGGAAUUUUGCGCAAUGGGGGAAACCCUGACGCAGCAACGCCGCGCGAGUGAUGAAGGCCUUUGGGUCGUAAAGCUCUGUCAGAGGGGAAGAAAUGAUAUAGUGCUAAUACCACUUUAUCUUGACGGUACCCUCAAAGGAAGCACCGGCUAACUCCGUGCCAGCAGCCGCGGUAAUACGGAGGGUGCGAGCGUUGUUCGGAUUUAUCGGGCGUAAAGCGCGUGUAGGCGGUUUUUUAAGUCUGAUGUGAAAGCCCCGGGCUCAACCUGGGAAUUGCAUUGGAUACUGGGAGACUUGAAUACGGGAGAGGGUAGUGGAAUUCCUAGUGUAGGAGUGAAAUCCGUAGAUAUUAGGAGGAACACCGGUGGCGAAGGCGGCUACCUGGACCGAUAUUGGCGCUGAGACGCGAAAGCGUGGGGAGCAAACAGGAUUAGAUACCCUGGUAGUCCACGCCGUAAACGAUGAGUACUAGGUGUUGCGGGUAUUGACCCCUGCAGUGCCGCAGCUAACGCAUUAAGUACUCCGCCUGGGAAGUACGGUCGCAAGACUAAAACUCAAAUGAAUUGACGG
rnacentral:rRNA from 1 species